UGCGAGUGAACAGGGAUUAGCCCAGCACCGAAGCCUGUGGUUAUUUGACUGCAAGGCAAUGUGGUGUUUAGGUUUGUUCUUGGCAUUACUGCUCUGCCCCAAGUCCAGCAAUGAGUACGGCAUACCGUUCUGGCCCAAAGAGGGUGAAAGGCCCGUGGGGGUAGAGACCAAGCAUGACAGUUUUGUCCAGAGCUUACCUUGGAGUCGGGUUGUUUGAGAAUGCAGCCCAAAGUGGGUGGUAAACUCCAUCCAAGGCUAAAUACUUGCACGAGUCCGAUAGUAAACAAGUACCGUGAGGGAAAGUUGAAAAGUACUUUGAAGAGAGAGUAAACAGUGCGUGAAACCGCUCAGAGGUAAACGGGUGGAGUUGAACUGCGAUCCUUGGGAAUUCAGCUGAUGAGCAUGAUUUGUGCUUGGGCAUAUUGACCGCCUUUCAGUGUCUGCUUAACUGCGGGUGCCUGCCUCUGGUGGGUAUGUGUGGUGCGCUUAUCAUGUGCCGCACGCAUUGGAGGGUGUAUGAGUCUGCUUGUCGGUGCACUUUCUCAGGGUGUUCACCACGACCGGCACUGCUGUCUGUCUGCUUUGGUCAAACUGAUCAGGUCUGAUUAACGUUGGGCUUGGUUGGGUUGGCAGGUGACUCACUGGUCCACUCUGUGGGCUAUGAGUGUUACUAGCCGGCUAUUGUGGAUCUGUACGGUGUGUCGGAGACGGCGGCUUUGCAUAUGCGCUCUGUCCUUCAGGCGUGGUUGAGUCUGGUCGACUUGUUGCUAGUUUCGGCUGGUCAGUUGAUGGCUUGAUCAUGUUCAGUUGGCAGUGGUGUGUGUGUCUUAGUUUGGGCCAAUAGUCUGUGGUGUUGUGGUAGACUAUCCACCUGACCCGUCUUGAAACACGGACCAAGGAGUUUAACAUGUGCGCGAGUCAUUGGGCUUUACGAAACCCAAAGGCGCAGUGAAGGUAAAGGUUUGGCUUGUCCAGGCUGAGGUGAGAUCCUGUUGUUUUGCUCAUUAAUUCCAAGCUGCGAGCAGCAGGCGCAUCACCGGCCCGUCCCAUGACGUAGACAUGUGGCCUUGUGCUAUGUGCACCGUCGGGGCGGAGCAAGAGCGUACAUGUUGAGACCCGAAAGAUGGUGAACUAUGCUUGCGAAGGUUGAAGCCAGAGGAAACUCUGGUGGAGGACCGUAGCGAUUCUGACGUGCAAAUCGAUCGUAUAACGUGAGUAUA
rnacentral:rRNA from 1 species